rnacentral:rRNA from 1 species
UGGGGAAUAUUGGACAAUGGGCGCAAGCCUGAUCCAGCCAUGCCGCGUGAGUGACGAAGGCCUUAGGGUUGUAAAGCUCUUUUGGCGGGGAAGAUAAUGACGGUACCCGCAGAAUAAGCUCCGGCUAACUUCGUGCCAGCAGCCGCGGUAAUACGAAGGGAGCUAGCGUUGUUCGGAAUCACUGGGCGUAAAGCGCACGUAGGCGGAUGUGUCAGUCAGGGGUGAAAUCCCGGAGCUCAACUUCGGAACUGCCCUUGAUACAGCACGUCUUGAGUCCGAUAGAGGUGGGUGGAAUUCCUAGUGUAGAGGUGAAAUUCGUAGAUAUUAGGAAGAACACCGGUGGCGAAGGCGGCCCACUGGAUCGGUACUGACGCUGAGGUGCGAAAGCGUGGGGAGCAAACAGGAUUAGAUACCCCCGUAGUCCCUGAGCGGGCUGGCAAG